rfam:Mus musculus chromosome 10, GRC primary reference assembly.
GGGGAUUUAGCUCAGUGGUAGAGCGCUUGCCUAGCAAGUGCAAGGCCCUGGGUUCAGUCCUCA